AUUGAACGCUGGCGGCAGGCCUAACACAUGCAAGUCGAGCGGAUGAAGGGAGCUUGCUCCUGGAUUCAGCGGCGGACGGGUGAGUAAUGCCUAGGAAUCUGCCUGGUAGUGGGGGAUAACGUCCGGAAACGGGCGCUAAUACCGCAUACGUCCUGAGGGAGAAAGUGGGGGAUCUUCGGACCUCACGCUAUCAGAUGAGCCUAGGUCGGAUUAGCUAGUUGGUGGGGUAAAGGCCUACCAAGGCGACGAUCCGUAACUGGUCUGAGAGGAUGAUCAGUCACACUGGAGCUGAGACACGGUCCAGGCUCCUACGGGAGGCAGCAGUGGGGAAUAUUGGACGAUGGGCGAAAGCCUGAUCCAGCCAUGCCGCGUGUGUGAAGAAGGGCUUCGGAUUGUAAAGCACUUUAAGUUGGGAGGAAGGGCAGUAAGUUAAUACCUUGCUGUUUUGACGUUACCAACAGAAUAAGCACCGGCUAACUUCGU
rnacentral:rRNA from 1 species